rnacentral:misc_RNA from 1 species
GUGAAUCAUCAAAUUUUUGAACGCAAAUUGCGCUUCCUGGCAUCCCGGGAAGUAUGCCUGUUUGAGGGUCAGUAUUAAUAAAAAAUCGGGUGAGGUACAAAUUGUGACGUUUCCGGAGUUUUGGCUAUCUUAGCAUUUUUGGUUGAGAGACUUAAAAUGGACCUUUUUUUCGCAUUGUUAAACGUACAUAAAUUGUUUUAUUCGUCUAUUCUUAAUGCCAAAAUCGUAUUAUAUGCGAUCACAUCGUGUGGCUUCGUGUCCAUAAAAUUUUCAUUAUUUGACCUCAAAUCAGGUAGGAUUU